ensembl:lncRNA
CAACUGUUGGCUCUCUUCACCCUGUUCUUGCUCUUCAGAAAUUCACCACGUCUUGCCAAGGCUCCUGUGGGAAGUUACCAAGUGCUACGACUCGCUCGUGUCACUCAGAGUUUGGAGAGCAGCACCAAGAAAUGGAAAACCCAGCACUUCCUCCUCCUUUAAAAAUAUCCUAUGGAGGGACCCACGAGGGAAAAUGCUGAGCUAUAAAAGCGCUCUGAAAAUCUCUCAUCUUGGCAGAGAGUGCUGCUCUGCUCUUUGCUACCAAAGGGAAUUCAGCACCUUGAACGCCUGGUCAUGGGGACAAUCAACAGACUUGCUCCUGGCCAGCUGAAAUUGCAUCUGUGCCAGUGGUCCCAAAGGCUGCUGUUCUUCAGCAGCUCUCAGUGCCUCCCCCUUCCCGAGGCCAAUGCCACGUGCCCUGAGCUACCAGCACUUUGUCCUCCACUGUCACUUUGCAGCCACCCUGCAUGAACCAAAGGGCUGCAUUGCCACCCAAGGAGCCUGAAGCCCUAUUGGAGAAGGAGCGUUGUGCAGUGCCUGUGUGCGAGCAGGAUGGCUGUCUUCGGGUGACACCACUUGGCUCUCCAGCUACAAAGCAUUACUGUUAUUCCUGGCAGAAAAGGGGAAAAGAUGCAAGCUGUGGAGUCUGUGACUGCAGAAGGGAAGAAGCUGUCGGAUCCCAUCUGUCGACCGGGAGGAUGAACGACCGCACGCAUCUCUGCUCUGCGCCAGCUCCCAGCCCGACUUCCAGGGGCUCAGCAUCUUCUUGGGCAACCCCAAUGGGCUGCAGUGGGGCCAGAGCCUCCCUGCAAGGUCCUUCCCAUGCCAGCCCCAGAGCGGUGGGAGUUGCUGGGUGUUGGGCCCAAAGGAGAGGGUCACACACCAUACCUCCCAGAUACAGGGCAGCUCCUGGGGUCCCGCAGUGCUAUUGGAGACAAAGGGAAGUGAAGCUAAAGAGCAGCACAGAGCAACAGCGGCUUGGAUGACACGGGUCAGUACUUCAGCACACGCAAGGCUGGUUUUUGAUGGUUUGGGAUUAAGAGCCUGCAAAUCGCAGCAUUCCACCAAGGCUGUCUCACUGGAAAAGAGCUGAGGUCAAGACCAGGAGGGACCCAGAGGUCAAAGUGCUGCCAAGAAAAAGGGCUAAACAAAGCCCAGGAUUUCUGCAGUCAAAAGCCCAGGCAUCUAAAGGCAGCAUUAAACUUGAAAUGAGAAACUGGAAAUCCUCUUUUGAUAUAUUCCUUCCCUUACUUUAAACAAGCUUUUCUUACUCACUGCACAGAUAAUGUGUGGACUUUGGACUUUCUUUUUGUAAUGUAUAAUGGAAAUUUAACGCAUCUGUGAGGAACCUGGGACUGUUUUAUAUCGCAUCCAUGGUGUUUUGGGGCCCUCCUGCAACUCAGAAUACAACAUCAAUGGCAAAGUGGGACUUUGUGUUCAAGAGAGGUGGACAUAACCUUCCCCAUCCCCAUGUCUACGUACUUGUAGGCAGCUAGAGGUGAAUACCCUGAAAUAAGAGGAGCCACAGCUCGCUUCCCCUUGUGCUAACACUAUCUCAGUCUGGUCUGCAGUGCUUUCCCACUGAUACAAGGACAACUUUAGUGCUGCUGGUGUCUCCAGGACAUCCCAAGAACCAGGAGGUGUUUUUUAAUGGGGAUUUGCCCUGAAGUACAGCCAAAAUCCUUUUUCUCACGGAUCAAACAGAUUCACGCAAUAGCUGCAGAAGGAGUUUGGACUCCAGGAGAUGACAAUACAGCACCCUGCGUGCAUUGCCAUGGAGUCCCACUCCUGGUUUCUGGAUGGCCGGACUACAACUGGCUCAGCCCAGUGCCAACUUAGAUGACAGUGAGGCAGAUCUGCAACUUUGUGAACGCAGCAAUUAGCCCCUGAGCCCGGGGAGAGUUUGUCAAGAUCCCAUCACAGGCAAACAAUAACACAGAAAUACAGCUUUGAGGGGGAGACAAUUUAUCAAGCUGACCACAGCUAUCUCCCUCAUUUUUUCUUCAAUAAAUCCAGCCUCGCUCUUGGCAGUGUACAGUAUCUUGUCAUUGCUUUCG